rnacentral:snoRNA from 1 species
UUUCCUUCUGCACUGUGGCAAGAGUGGUUACUAUUCCCAGCGUAGCUCGCUCUAAUCCGCAGAAGGUAGAUCAAAUCGUUCAUCCUCCAUUGCCGUUGACGCUGCACUAGUGUUCCAUAUAUCUAAGUGGGCAUUGCAGUUCGACCUGGCUGAAUACACUU